AUUGAACGCUGGCGGCAGGCUUAACACAUGCAAGUCGAAUGAGUGGCGGACGGGUGCGUAUUGUCUGGGAACCUGCCUGAUGGAGGGGGAUAACUACUGGAAACGGUAGCUAAUACCGCAUUCCAUCGCAUGUGCCCAUAUGGGAUUAGCUAGUAGGUGGGGUGACGGAUCACCUAGGAGACGAACCCUAGCUGGUCUGAGAGGAUGACCGGCCACGCUGGAAGUGAGACACGGUCCAAUCUCCUACAGAAGGCAGCAGUGGGAAAUAUUGCACAAUGGGCGCAAUCCUGAUGCAGCCAUGGCACGUGUAUGAAGAAGGCCUUCGGGGUGUAAAGUACUUUCAGCGGGGAGGCGUUGACCGCAGAGGAAGCACCGGCUGACUCCGAGCCAGCAGCCGCGGUAAUAC
rnacentral:rRNA from 1 species